rnacentral:misc_RNA from 1 species
GGAGAUCAUUAUUGAUUGGUCGAAAGACCUUAUCAGAUUCUACCACCUCUGUGAACCGUUGACCUCCGGGUUAAUAAUCAAACAUCAGUGUAACGAACGUAAGAGUAUCUUAAUUAAACAAAACUUUUAACAACGGAUCUCUUGGCUCUCGCAUCGAUGAAGAACGCAGCGAAAUGCGAUAAGUAAUGUGAAUUGCAGAAUUCAGUGAAUCAUCGAAUCUUUGAACGCACCUUGCGCCUUUUGGUAUUCCGAAAGGCAUGCCUGUUUCAGUGUCAUGAAAUCUCAAUCUAAUAUGUUUUCUGAACAUGUUAGGCUUGGACUUGGGUGUCUGCCAGCAAUGGCUCACCUCAAAUGACUUAGUGGAACAUCCCACAUCAGUGUUAGACGUAAUAAGUUUCGUCUCUCCUUGUGGUGAUGACUGCUCAAAACCUGCCAUCGCGCACCUUUUGGACUUUGACCUGAAAUCAGGUAGGGCUACCCGCUGAACUUAAGCAUAUCAAU